rnacentral:rRNA from 1 species
AGAGUUUGAUUAUGGCUCAGAACGUACGCUGGCGGCACGCCUAACACAUGCAAGUCGAACGAAGUAGCAAUACUUAGUGGCAGACGGGUGAGUAACAUGUGGGUAUCUGCCCUUUGGCCUGGAAUAACACGAGGAAACUUGUGCUAAUACCGGAUAAGUCUUUACGGAGAAAGCUUUAUGCACCAUUGGAUGAGCCUGCACUUGAUUAGUUUGUUGGUGGGGUAAUGGCCCACCAAGACUAUGAUCAAUAGCUGAUUUGAGAGGAUGAUCAGCCACAUUGGGACUGAGACACGGCCCAAACUCCUACGGGAGGCAGCAGUGGGGAAUCUUGCACAAUGGAGGAAACUCUGAUGCAGCGAUGCCGCGUGAGUGAAGAAGGCCCUUGGGUUGUAAAGCUCUUUCGUCGGGGAAGAAAAUGACUGUACCCGAAUAAGAAGGUCCGGCUAACUUCGUGCCAGCAGCCGCGGUAAUACGAAGGGACCUAGCGUAGUUCGGAAUUACUGGGCUUAAAGAGUUCGUAGGUGGUUGAAAAAGUUGGUGGUGAAAUCCCAGAGCUUAACUCUGGAACUGCCAUCAAAACUUUUCAGCUAGAGUAUGAUAGAGGAAAGCAGAAUUUCUAGUGUAGAGGUGAAAUUCGUAGAUAUUAGAAAGAAUACCAAUUGCGAAGGCAGCUUUCUGGAUCAUUACUGACACUGAGGAACGAAAGCAUGGGUAGCGAAGAGGAUUAGAUACCCUCGUGGUCCAUGCCGUAAACGAUGUGUGUUAGACGUUGGAAAUUUAUUUUCAGUGUCGCAGCGAAAGCGAUAAACACACCGCCUGGGGAGUACGACCGCAAGGUUAAAACUCAAAUGAAUUGACGGGGACCCGCACAAGUAGUGGAGCAUGUGGUUUAAUUCGAAGAUACGCGCAGAACCUUACCAACACUUGACAUGUUCGUCGCGACUCUAAGAGAUUAGAGUUUUCGGUUCGGCCGGACGAAACACAGGUGCUGCAUGGCUGUCGUCAGCUCGUGUCGUGAGAUGUUGGGUUAAGUCCCGCAACGAGCGCAACCCUCACUUUUAGUUGCCAUCAUUAAGUUGGGCACUCUGAAAGAACUGCCAGUGAUAAGCUGGAGGAAGGUGGGGAUGACGUCAAGUCCUCAUGGCCCUUACGUGUUGGGCUACACACGUGCUACAAUGGUAUCUACAACAGGAAGCAAAACGGCAACGUUAAGCAAAUCCCGAAAAGAUACCUCAGUUCGGAUUGCACUCUGCAACUCGAGUGCAUGAAGCUGGAAUUACUAGUAAUCGUGGAUCAGCGUGCCACGGUGAAUGCGUUCCCGGGUCUUGUACACACCGCCCGUCACACCAUGGGAGUUGGUUCUACCUUAAGGCAAGGUUUUAAACCCUUGACCACGGUAUAGUCAGCGACUGGGGUGAAGUCGUAACAAGGUA